UAGGCAGUGUGCUCCUAUUACUCAUGGAUCUUAUCUUAUCUUGUUUUCAUACUCUGGCGUUCGCCUGCUGGUAUAAUCAUCCUAAUUACAGCGAUGGCAGAAUCUAGUAUUAUUAAGGCCUGUCCUUACCUGCAGAGCCUCCUGACGGGGUUGAUCUUGACCGAAAUACCUGACGGGGCUUCCUGCUGGCCACGCUCGCUCCCUUCAGACACCGACAUCGGGGAGAAGAGGCAGCGGCUCGUCGAUGUCUCUGCUUCACGCUCUCGUCAUGUUCUGCUUUGAUAAAAAAGGUGCGGGUGUGACUGCUACUGCUCUGUGAAGUCCCAUCAGUGCCCUCAAGCCAUGAUGCAAAGUGAACUUAUCUUAAUGCAGGAAAACUGUCAAUUCAUAUAUAGCUAUAAAUUUGAAGUCUCUGUGGUUUUACUUCAAGACAUGUAGAUAUGUUUCAACUGUCUCAAAUCCUGAAGAUAAGCUUAAAGAAGCAAAAAAUAAAAACCCUUGUUAAAAAAGGCACUGUUUAUCACAAAAUAACUCCUAUAAUGUAAAGAACUGCAAUUCAGUAAGGCUGUAAAAAAUAAAGAACAUAUCUUCAACUGGAAUGAUGCUUGGGCUU